rnacentral:misc_RNA from 1 species
GAUGAAGAACGCAGCGAGAUGCGAUAAGUAAUGUGAAUUGCAGAAUUCAGUGAAUCAUCGAAUCUUUGAACGCACAUUGCGCCCGCCAGUAUUCUGGCGGGCAUGCCUGUCUGAGCGUCAUUUCAACCCUCAUGCCCCUAGGGCGUGGUGUUGGGGAUCGGCCAAAGCCCGCGAGGGACGGCCGGCCCCUAAAUCUAGUGGCGGACCCGUCGUGGCCUCCUCUGCGAAGUAGUGAUAUUCCGCAUCGGAGAGCGAUGAGCCCCUGCCGUUAAACCCCCAACUUUCCAAGGUUGACCUCAGAUCAGGUAGGAAUACCCGCUGAACUUAAGCAUAUCAAUAAGCGGAGGA